rnacentral:rRNA from 1 species
GACGAACGCUGGCGGCGUGCUUAACACAUGCAAGUCGAACGGUGAAGCGCUUGCCUUUUUGGUGGGUGUGGAUGAGUGGCGAACGGGUGAGUAACACGUGAGUAACCUGCCCUCUUCUUCUGGAUAACCUCAUGAAAGUGGGGCUAAUACGGGGUAUUCCGGGUCUGUCGCAUGGCGGGUUUGGGAAAGAUUGCGCCUUUGGGUGUUUUCGGUGGGGGAUGGGCUCGCGGCCUAUCAGCUUGUUGGUGGGGUGAUGGCCUACCAAGGCGGUGACGGGUAGCCGGCCUGAGAGGGUGGACGGCCACACUGGGACUGAGACACGGCCCAGACUCCUGCGGGAGGCAGCAGUGGGGAAUAUUGCACAAUGGGCGCAAGCCUGAUGCAGCGACGCCGCGUGAGGGAUGGAGGCCUUCGGGUUGGGAACCUCUUUCGCCAGUGAAGCAGGCCUGCUCCUGUGUGGGUGGGUUGACGGUAGCUGGAGAAGAAGCGCCGGCUAACUACGUG